rnacentral:rRNA from 1 species
UACGUAGGGGGCAAGCGUUGUCCGGAUUUAUUGGGCGUAAAGCGCGCGUAGGCGGCAAGGUAUGUCGUGCGUGAAAUCUCCCGGCUUAACUGGGAGGGGGCCGUGCGAAACUGCCUGGCUUGAGGUCGGAAGGGGAAAGUGGAAUUCCGGGUGUAGUGGUGGAAUACGUAGAUAUCCGGAGGAACACCAGCGGCGAAGGCGGCAUCCUGGACUGGUACUGACU